CCUACGUGGUGCAGCAGUGGGGAAUAUUGGACAAUGGGCGAAAGCCUGAUCCAGCCAUGCCGCGUGUGUGAAGAAGGCCUUCGGGUUGGAAAGCACUUUCAGUGGGGAAGAAAGCCUUGGGGCUAAUACCCUCGAGGAAGGACAUCACCCACAGAAGAAGCACCGGCUAACUCCGUGCCAGCAGCCGCGGUAAUACGGAGGGUGCGAGCGUUAAUCGGAAUUACUGGGCGUAAAGCGCGCGUAGGCGGUCUGAUAAGCCGGUUGUGAAAGCCCCGGGCUCAACCUGGGAACGGCAUCCGGAACUGUCAGGCUAGAGUGCAGGAGAGGAAGGUAGAAUUCCCGGUGUAGCGGUGAAAUGCGUAGAGAUCGGGAGGAAUACCAGUGGCGAAGGCGGCCUUCUGGACUGACACUGACGCUGAGGUGCGAAAGCGUGGGUAGCAAACAGGAUUAGAUACCCGUGUAGUC
rnacentral:rRNA from 1 species